UCUGUUUUGUUUUGUAAGAACUCUAGUUUUAAUCCAUCAGUCUGUUUGUUCUUUAAUCCGUUGCAUUGAUAAGUGUCUAUUUAUCUAUGUUUACUUAUAUUUUUCUACAUAGUCACUCCAUAUAAAGCAUGGAAACAAGUUUAAAAAAGUUGUAGAAAGCAGCUGCUUAAGAAUUUUACAUCUUUCGAUGAAGGUUGAGUUAACCAGAAACACAUUUUUGGUGGAAAUUUUUUUACUUUCUAUAUAGUUCCUGUCAAAUAUGAUGAUACAAAUAUAAUUAUGCUUUGGGUGACCUGACCAUUCACAAGGAAUAGGUUAUGAUUCUUCAAGUAUACAUGCUUAGGUUUCAAUUUACUUGGAAUGUGAUCUUAGGUUGUCUUCUUCAUGCUCAUCGAAGUAAAGUGAUCCCGAGGCGACCAGAAGUUUAUUUUAGUUUGCUUUGUGAAGAAUUGCAGUUGAAGCAAAACAAGUGUGAUCAUAGACUCAUAGCUAGGAUCUUUUAAAAUCCAAUCAUUGUAUUGAGAAUAUUUUGUUUUGUUGGUUUUAGAUUAUCUAUGUACCGCUCUUGUAUGUUCACUUUAUUUGAAUGGAUGAUUUCAUGUGCUUUUGCCUUAUUUGAA